rnacentral:lncRNA from 1 species
GGAAAGUUCGUGAAAAAACUUUAUUCAUUGGCACAAUGCCAAUAUUUUUCUAUUCAUUUUUAAGUUUUACGUAUUUAGUAGUCGUUUAAAUAUCCCAUUCAAUUUAAAUAUGUCGUUCAAGUUGCCAAUUUAUCAGAUUUUUCCUUAAUGGGCCUCGACUAAAUGCGGCAUUGACAUUGACCUUUGUGUCGACCGAGUUUAGUUGUUUACAAUGAUUUUUUAAUGUAAAUUUAUCGUGACCUGAAUAUUUGUAAAGUGAUGUGUAUUACCAAUGCUUACACAGCACUAAUAAAGCUAACGUUUUUAUGUGUGGGUUUGAGUUUACCUAUCUGUUUAAUAUCAAAUGAUCUUUGAUAGAUAAUCACAUUUUAGACGUUUUAACGGUAAAUAAUUUUAUUCUGUUAGUACAAAAAGGUAAUUCGGUAAAGAUUUGGGGAUGUGCACAUGGUACAUUAAUACCAUAUGUUAUCAUUAUUCAUGUUAUUUUUUGCCUCUUUCUUUUUCUACUCUUAAAUCAUGUAAGUUAAAAUAAAAUUUGAUACAUC